rnacentral:scRNA from 1 species
GGCCAUCGCAGGGAGGGUUCCCUCUUCUCCUCGGCCAGGUUAGCCCUGGAGGAUCAUUGCUGGGGCUGCCGCGAGCUGGCGGCUUUGUUGUCCUGCCCCGGUCAUCU